AUGUGCACAAGGAAGCAUGACAGAGGCAUGGGGUUUCGAGAUCCUGAAGUGUUUAACCAAGCCUUGCUAGCGAAGCAGGCUUGGCGUAUCUUACAAGUUCCAUCAUCGCUUUGCGUAAGAGUUUUAAAGGCCAGAUAUUUUGGCGAUGGUUCAAUUCUGAAUGCUACAUGCCCUGCUCGGGGUCCAUUCACUUUCAAAAGCACCCCGCAUGGCCGGAAUCUCUUAUUGGAUGGCUUGAUGUGGUGGGUCAAGGAUGGGUCAAAAAUAAGGAUCCACCCUGAUAAGUGGAUUCCAAGGAAAGGUAGUCUCGAGCCGCUGGGCCAAGAAUACAGCCAUGGGAUUAAUAGGAUCACUGACUUAGUCGACCAACAAGGCAUGGAGUGGGAUGUGACCAAGGUGCAUGAGAUGUCCCCUCUAGAUGAAGCAAAUGAGAUCAUGCAAAUCACAAUUGGAGGGCUAGGAGUAGAGGACUUCCUGGCAUGUAAUUACACUAAAAACAAAAUUUUUACAGAUAGGUUAGCCUACCAUCUCCGUAUGUCACAAAAACUUCUCAACUCUCAAGUCUGGACAGCUAGACCUUCAUCGUCGGUGGCAGACAACAAGGCGUGGUUGAGCUUAUGGGAUACAUUAGCUCCUGGAAGGUGA
rnacentral:rRNA from 1 species